rnacentral:rRNA from 1 species
AGUCGAACGGCAGCACGGACUUCGGUCUGGUGGCGAGUGGCGAACGGGUGAGUAAUGUAUCGGAACGUGCUCAGUAGCGGGGGAUAACUACGCGAAAGGUAGCUACUGGCCCGCAUACGCCCUUCGGGGAAAGCGGGGGACCUUCGGGCCUCGCACCAUUGUGAGCGGCCGAUAUCGGAUUAGCUAGCUGGUGGGGUAACGGCUCACCAAGGCGACGAUCCGUAGCUGGUUUGAGAGGACGACCAGCCACACUGGGACUGAGACACGGCCCAGAUCACGGGAGGCAGCAGGGGGAAUUUUUGGACAAUGGGGAAACCCUGAUCCAGCCAUCUCUGCGUGUGCGAUGAAGGCCUUCGGGUUGUGUACACUUUUGGCAGGAGAAACGGCACGGGAUAAUACCCCGUGCAACUGACGGUACCUGCAGAAUAAGCACCGGCUAACUACGUGCCAGCAGCCGCGGUAAUACGUAGGGUGCAAGCGUUAAUCGGAAUUACUGGGCGUAAAGCGUGGCGCAGUAUGGCUCUGAAAGAAGGAAACUUCAGAGCUUAACUUUGGAACUGCAUUUUUAACUACUGAGCUAGAGAGUGUCAGAGGGAGGUGGAAUUCCGCGUGUAGCAGUGAAAUGCGUAGAUAUGCGGAGGAACACCGAUGGCGAAGGCAGCCUCUGGGAUAACACUGACGCUCAUGCACGAAAGCGUGGGGAGCAAACAGGAUUAGAUACCCUGGUAGUCCACGCCCUAAACGAUGUCAAUCUGGGCUGUUGGGGCCUUCGGGCCUUGGUAGCGCAGCUAACGCGAAGUUGACCGCCUGGGGAGUACGGUCGCAAGAUUAAAACCUGGGGACGGGGACUCGCACAAGCGGUGGAUGAUGUGGAUUAAUUCGAUGCAACGCGAAAACCUUACCUAAUUCUUGACAUGUCUUUUUUGAAUCCCGAAGAGAUUUGGGAGUGCUCUCGUAAGAGAACCGGAACACAGGUGCUGCAUGGCUGUCGUCAGCUCGUGUCGUGAGAUGUUGGGUUAAGUCCUGCAACGAGCGGCAACCUCUGUCAUUAGUUGCUACGAAAGGGCACUCUAUCGAGACUGCCGGUGACAAAACUGGAGGAAGGUGGGGAUGACGUCAAGUCCUCAUGGCCCUUAUGGGUAGGGCUUCACAUCGUCAUACAAUGGUCGGGACAGAGGGUCGCCAACCCGCGAGGGGGGAGCCAAUCCCAGAAACCCGAUCGUAGUCCGGAUCGCGCAGUUCGCAACUCGACUGCGUGAAGUCGGAAUCGCUAGUAAUCGCGGAUCAGCAUGUCGCGGUGAAUACGUUCCCCGGGUCUUGUACACACUGCCCGUCACACCAUGGGAGUGGGUUUUACCAGAAGUAGUUAGCCUAACCGUAAGGAGGGCGAUUACCACGGUAGGAUUCAUGACUGGGGUGUAGUCGUAACAAGGUAACUCUACGAGUUACCUUGAUGCUCCCA